AGUGAACGCUGGCGGUAGGCCUAACACAUGCAAGUCGAACGGCAGCACAGUAAGAGCUUGCUCUUACGGGUGGCGAGUGGCGGACGGGUGAGGAAUACAUCGGAAUCUACUUUUUCGUGGGGGAUAACGUAGGGAAACUUACGCUAAUACCGCAUACGACCUACGGGUGAAAGCAGGGGAUCUUCGGACCUUGCGCGAUUGAAUGAGCCGAUGUCGGAUUAGCUAGUUGGCGGGGUAAAGGCCCACCAAGGCGACGAUCCGUAGCUGGUCUGAGAGGAUGAUCAGCCACACUGGAACUGAGACACGGUCCAGACUCCUACGGGAGGCAGCAGUGGGGAAUAUUGGACAAUGGGCGCAAGCCUGAUCCAGCCAUACCGCGUGGGUGAAGAAGGCCGUCGGGUUGUAAAGCCCUUUUGUUGGGAAAGAAAAGCAGCAGGUUAAUACCCCGCUGUUCGGACGGUACCCAAAGAAGAAGCACCGGCUAACUUCG
rnacentral:rRNA from 1 species